rnacentral:miRNA from 1 species
GGCCCAAGAGAGCACUUGCUCUGUCAGAUUUCAUGCACAGACAUGAUUGAACAAACUGACAAGCAUGGUUAGUUCCCUUGUCUGAGCU